rnacentral:rRNA from 1 species
UACGGGGGGAGCAAGCGUUGUUCGGAUUUACUGGGCGUAAAGAGCGUGUAGGCGGCCUGGUAGGUCAGUUGUGAAAACUCGAGGCUCAACCUCGAGACGCCGAUUGAAACCAUCAGGCUAGAGUCCGGAAGAGGAGAGUGGAAUUCCCGGUGUAGCGGUGAAAUGCGCAGAUAUCGGGAAGAACACCCGUGGCUAAGGCGGCUCUCUAGUACGGUACUGACGCUGAGACGCGAAAGCGUGGGGAGCGAACAGG